rnacentral:rRNA from 1 species
GGGGAAUUGUUCGCAAUGGGCGCAAGCCUGACGACGCAACGCCGCGUGGAGGAUGAAGAUCUUCGGGUCGUAAACUCCCUUCGAUCGAGACGAACGGCCAUCGGGAUAACACCCUGAUGGAGUGACGGUACCGAGAGAAGCAGCCCCGGCUAACUCCGUGCCAGCAGCCGCGGUAAUACGGGGGGGGCAAGCGUUGUUCGGAAUUACUGGGCGUAAAGGGCUCGUAGGCGGCCAACUAAGUCAUACGUGAAAUCCCUCGGCUUAACCGGGGAACUGCGUCUGAUACUGGAUGGCUUGAGUUCGGGAGAGGGACGCGGAAUUCCAGGUGUAGCGGUGAAAUGCGUAGAUAUCGGGAGGAACACCUGUGGCGAAAGCGGCGCACUGGACCACAACCGACGCUGAGGCGCGAAAGCUAGGGGAGCAAAC